rnacentral:lncRNA from 1 species
GCUCACAGGAAGUGACGUCAAAGCGGAGCGCCCUCCGCUGCGGCUCCGCCCGUUCCAUAGCUGCCGCGGAUCAGGGCGGACGUGACGCCUUAGCGUGGUCCUCAGACCUCGCUGUGCCCGGGGUGGGGCGUGUCGGCUGCUACCGAGAACCUGCUCGGGGGACGCGUCCGUCAACCGGAAUCCAGGGGACAGAAGCUUCCGACGCGCGAGGCCUCGGGAGGAGCGUCUCCUUGGUAACUCUCCUCCGGUCGCAAGACCUGGAAGUGGCCUCAGGGGGUCGCCCUUCCUGUCCGUCGUGGAUGAAGGGGACCACUUGGCUUCAGAAAUCCCCGCUGGCCUCCGCCUCCCCUGGGGUUUCCCUUUCGGCGCAGGCGGGGCAGCGGCGUCAUCACAACCAUCGCCACCCCAGUAAUCACAGCGAGCGGCCCUUUGCGCACGCGUGGAGCCUUCUCAGGCCUCAGUACUUCUCACUUCGCCCGGCAAGGCUGGCCAGGAGGGGUGCAUUCUCCCUUUCCGCGUAUUUCAAGACCACUCCCCUUCUGCAUGCUCGGUGUCCCAGUCUGUCUCCUCGCUGCCUCCCGAGGCCUGGAACUGAAGCAAAGUUCGCCCCGAAGCCGACCGUUCUUUGAAGUUGAAAUCCUCAAAAAGCCUGCAGACUGAAUAGCGCUGUACUGGGCACGCGCAUUGCGCUUCCAGCCGCCCUUGGGUGCUGCGUGCUGGGCCGGGUCGGGUUGGGGCCUUCCUACAUACUCUUGCGACCAUUAGGCUCUUCUUGGGUGAGUUGCAAGUUAAAAUUACCAGGGCUCUCUGAACAUGGACCUUGGUGCUUUUUUUCUCUCUCCCUCUUCCGUGUUCUUUUUCAAACGCAUCUUCUCCCUUAUUAGAUUCAGAGAAGCCAGACAGGGCAGGCAGGGGUCCUCAGAUGUGCAGUCUGCAGGGCCUGAGGUUGUACACCAGGGCAGUGGAAAAGCAGCUAGGACUUGGACUUUCACAGUUACAUCGACAUUCUCCUCUUCCGGAUGGCACAUGCCCCCUCAAUCUGACCUGAAGUCCCUUCCUCCUGGCCCCCUCUUCCUUCCACGUAGAACCCCUGGAACUGUCAUUCUUGCUGCCUCCUGCUUACGUGGAGAGCCCUGUGUCCCUUUCACAUCUCCAUCUACCAGUCAGGCUCUUGGGCAGCAGCGUACCUGACUUAGGGCCUGUACCACAAGUCGUUUCUAUCAGGCUGAAUAGAGCCACCGUUUUUUGUGUGUUUGUUUGGUUUGGUUUGUAUUUUUUGUAGAGAUGGGGUUUCGUCAUGUUGCCCAGGCUGGUCUCCAACUCCUGGACUCAAGUGAUCCUCACACCUCAGCCUCCCAAAGUGCUGGGAUUACAGCGAAGAGCCACAGCACCUAGCCUGAGGCUGACUAGAGGAACUGUCUCUGAACCAUCUCUUGGACUCCAGCCUGUAUGCACAGACCCCCAGGUUAUUACCGUCUCCAGCUCCCAGCCCUACCCUGAAUUCCUCAGUGCGCCGACUAUGUCACCAUCAUGGCCAAUAUCCACUCAACUGUCUAUUCUGCCUCGCACCUACAAAGAGCCUUACAUGAGUCCUCUCACUUAAUCUCUCCAAUUUACUCCUCAUGACAACCUUACAUAUCCCCACAUAAGCAGGAAACUGAAUAAUUAUUUUAAAAUACAGUGUCGUUCUUGUACUAAAAACCAUCUGGCUGCCCGAUACUGUGGCUCACGCCUGUAACCCCAGCACAUUGGGAGGCCGAGGCGGGCAGAUGUCUUGAGAUCAGGAGUUCAAGACCAGCCUGGCCAACAUAGUGAAACCCCUUCUCUACUAAAAAUACAAAAAUUAGCCAGGUGUGGUGGCGGGCGCCCGUAAUCCCAGCUACUCGGGAGGCUGAACCAGGAGAAUUGCUUGAACCGGGAGGCAGAAGUUGCAGUGAGCCGAGAUCACACCACUGCACUCCAGCCUGGGCAACAGAGUGAGACUCUAUCUAAAAAAAAAAAAAGCCAUUUGGCAUCUCCCAUCACACUUAGACAAAAAUCCAAAGUCCUUGUUAUGGUCUCCAAGGUCCUAUAAAUCUGGUCCUUGACCCCCCAAAUCCAGACAACACAUAGAGAGAUGCACACACAUCUCCCAUCCUUCCUGCAUCCCUCUUCUCCCACUGCUCAAGAGGACUCUUGUCCCUUUUCUCCUCUCAGGGCCUCUCACCAUCUUAAGUUCCACUGUAGGGUGGACAAGACGCAGAACUGGAAUGAGGCAGGCCUGGGUUUGAUCCUGGAUCUAUUUACUGUAUCACCUGGAGUAGUUUACUUCAUCGCUGUGGACUUCAAUUUCUCAUCUGUAAAACAGGGCCAGUAGACCAGGUGCUGUGGCUCACACCUAUAAUCUCAGCACUCUGGGAGGACAUGCAGGAGGAUUGCUUGAGACCAGCCUGGACAGCAUAGUAAGAACCCAUCUCUAAGAAAUAUAUGUAUUUUUUAAAUUAGCUGGUGCAGUAGCAUGCACUUGUAGUCCCAGCUACUCAGGAGGCUGAGUGGGAGGAUUGCUCCCAGCCCAGGAGAUCCAGGCUGCAGUGGGCCAUGAUCAGGCUUCUGCAUUGCAACCUGGGUGACAGAGCGAGACCCUGACUCAAAAUAAAAAUGGGGCCACUUAUGCCUAUUUGUUGCUUGUUUGUUUUUUGAGAUGGAGUCUCUGUCACCCAACCUGGAGUGAAGUGGCGCAAUUCUCGGCUCACUGCCACCUCCACCUUCCAGGUUCAAGCAAUUCUUGUGCCUCACCCACUGGAGUGGGAUUACAGGCAUGCGCCACCACAGCUGGCUAAUUUUUUUUUUUUUUUUGAGACGGCAUCUUGCUCUGUUGCCCAGGCUGGAGUGCAAUGGUGCGAUCUCGGCUCACUGCAAGCUCUGCCUCCUGGAUUCACGCCAUUCUCCUGCCUCAGCCUCCCAAGUAGCUGGGACUACAGGCACCUGCCACCACGCCCGAUUAAUUUUUUUUGCAUUUUUAGUAGAGACAGGAUUUCACUGUGUUAGCCACGAUGGUCUCGAUCUCCUGACCUCGUGAUCUGCCCGUCUCGGCCUCCCAAAGUGCUGGGAUUAUAGGCAUGAGCCACCGCGCCCAGCCAAUUUUUUAAAUUUUUAUUUCUAGUAGAGACGGUGUUUCACCAUGUUGGCCAGACUAGUCUCAAGCUCCCGACUUCAGGUGAUCUGCCCACCUCAGCCUCCCAAAGUGGUAGGAUUACAGGCCUGAGCCACCGCGCCAGCUUCAAAGAUGUUUAUCUAGGGAACAGCUAUGGAAGAUGGAGAUAGUGUCUCCCUCCAGAGCAAAGGACAGCCAUGCUUACUGGCUUUGAGUUUCCUAAGCUUAGGGUCCUCUCCCACAAUGUAAUUCGCUCUGUGUGCCCACACUUGCCUGAGCCCAUCAGCAUCACCCCCAUGGGACUUAGGGUCAAAAGGAACUAACGGAAAUAUGCUGGUGCUCAUGCUGUUUGCUGCACAGCGAUCAAGUCCUUUGUCUCUGACCCAGGACUCUCCUGUAUUCUGCCAGCAUUCUUGAACCUGACGGGCUACCUUGGUAGCUUGCAAGUGGGUAAGAUCUCAGAUGCUUCACAGUCCUUGACAUAGAAGGUGCUCACAGGUGUUGGUGGUAAAACCUAUUCGCAGCAGUCACAGUGGACAGGCCAGUGUCUGUGGAGCAAUGGGCUUGGGCUCUUUCACACCCUUCCCUUGCCGACAAUAUAUCACACCUUCAGCCAGGCAUGGUGGCUCACAACUUUAAUCCCAGCACUUUGGGAGGUCAAGACUGGCAGAUCACUUGAGGUCAGGAGUUCGAGACCAGCCUGGCCAACAUAGUGAAACCCCAUCUCUACUAAAAAUACAAAAACUAGCUGGGCAUGGUGGUGCGAGCCUGUAGUUCCAGCUACUCAUGAGGCUGAGACGGGAAUUGCUUGAACUGGGAGGCGGAGGUUGCAGUGAGUGGAGAUCCUGCCACUGCACUCCAGCCUGGGCAACAGAGCAUGGAGUCAGGGAAGAGAAAGGAGGGAAAGGAGGAGGGGGAGGGGGAGGGAAGGGAAUCACAGUUUCAUGUGAGCCAGUCCAAAUUGGUCCCUCCUUGUGGCACUGAUGACAUGGCUGUAGUUAGGCUCUUUUCUGGGUGAUAGAGCACCCCACAGCAGCUCAGUCAUGCACAGCUCAAUUACAGCUCCCCCUGGGCUGGCUGAUUUGGUGGGGAUGGUUCACAUGGCAACAAGUGGCCUAUGCCAUGUUGCCUGGCCUCUGAAAAACGUAACUUAUCAUUUGUAUUUUCACACAGGCACUGAAAAGGGGUCAGCUAUUCUUUUUUUUUUUUUUUUUUUUUUGGUUUUCACUGCAAUGUGAAUCACCUUGACAUUUCUGUGAAACAGGAAGUGGCUGGAU